rnacentral:rRNA from 1 species
ACGAACGCUGGCGGCGUGCUUAACACAUGCAAGUCGAACGGAAAGGCCCCCUUGUGGGGUACUCGAGUGGCGAACGGGUGAGUAACACGUGAGUAACCUACCCUUGACUUUGGGAUAACUUCAGGAAACUGGGGCUAAUACCGGAUAGGAGCUCCUGCUACAUGGUGGGGGUUGGAAAGUUUCGGCGGUUGGGGAUGGACUCGCGGCUUAUCAGCUUGUUGGUGGGGUAGUGGCUCACCAAGGCUUUGACGGGUAGCCGGCCUGAGAGGGUGACCGGCCACAUUGGGACUGAGAUACGGCCCAGACUCCUACGGGAGGCAGCAGUGGGGAAUAUUGCACAAUGGGCGGAAGCCUGAUGCAGCAACGCCGCGUGCGGGAUGACGGCCUUCGGGUUGUAAACCGCUUUCGCCUGUGACGAAGCGUGAGUGACGGUAAUGGGUAAAGAAGCACCGGCUAACUACGUG